rnacentral:misc_RNA from 1 species
AACAAGGCGUACCUGCGGACCUGCGGAAGGAUCAUUACCGAGUUUACAACUCCCAAACCCCUGUGAACAUACCUAUACGUUGCCUCGGCGGAUCAGCCCGCGCCCCGUAAAAAGGGACGGCCCGCCCGAGGACCCCUAAACUCUGUUUUUAGUGGAACUUCUGAGUAAAACAAACAAAUAAAUCAAAACUUUCAACAACGGAUCU